UACCAGACUCCUACGGGAGGCAGCAGUGGGGAAUAUUGCACAAUGGGCGAAACCCUGAUGCAGCGACGCCGCGUGAGCGAUGAAGUCUUUCGGUAUGUAAAGCUCUCUCAGCAGGGAAGAAAAUGACGGUACCUGACUAAGAAGCCCCGGCUAACUACGUGCCAGCAGCCGCGGUAAUACGUAGGGGGCAAGCGUUAUCCGGAUUUACUGGGUGUAAAGGGAGCGUAGACGGCUGUGCAAGCCAGAUGUGAAAGCCCGGGGCUCAACCCCGGGACUGCAUUUGGAACUGUGUGGCUGGAGUGUCGGAGAGGCAGGCGGAAUUCCUAGUGUAGCGGUGAAAUGCGUAGAUAUUAGGAGGAACACCGGUGGCGAAGGCGGCCUGCUGGACGAUGACUGACGUUGAGGCUCGAAAGCGUGGGGAGCAAACAGGAUUAGAUACCCGCGUA
rnacentral:rRNA from 1 species